GUGGGAAUUCAGACUCCCUGAGCCCCUGUUGACUCUGCACCCACGCCAGACAGAGUGCUACCUGCUGUUGGCUCUGGUGUGUCUCAUGGAAGAAGGAAAGAAACUAAAAAAAAAGUCAUGGUGAAAAUCGUGGUGAUGACACUUCUCUGUAGGCAGGUGGAGUCACCCAGCUACUGUAGGAUGAAAUUCCUGCUUGACCACACUCUCCGCACCAUUGCAGACUCCAGUUAAGAGGAAGAAUGCAAAUGUAGGCUUUUUAAGAGAAGCUAAUUGAUCACUUGCCAUUUCUUCUCCUCUAAUUAAGGGAUUUAGAGUUGCUGAAGAUUUCACAAUCCAUGUAGAGGCACAGAAUCUUACAAGAAGUCAUCCAGUCCAGACCACCCCCCCAGCACAAGAAUCUCCCUUCCUGACAUGUUUCUGCCAACA